GGGCUGAUGGUUUAGUGGUCAUAACGCCGCGCUUACACCGCGGAUGUCCCCGGUUCAAUCCCGGGUCGGCCCACCA
rnacentral:tRNA from 1 species